GAGGUGGCCGGCUCGCCUUGCCCUGAUGAUUCCGCUGACGCUGUCUACCGCGACGGCUCUCGCAGUCGAUCGCGGUCAAUUCGGCGAUGUCCCCGAACACAUCCGCAAAUGGUUCAAGGAUGCGCGUAGUCCCGCCCGUGCUGCGACGUGUCGGAUGGCCAUCGCACCGACUACGAUGUCCGCGAGGGCAGCUACUGGGUGCCGAUCGAAGGCACAUGGUGGAUGGUGCCGGAGAAGGCGAUCAUCCGCACCGGCGGCAAUCCCACCGGCGGCGCAGUGGUGUGGUACGUCACGAUCCGCGGCAACAUCGAGAUCAC
rnacentral:misc_RNA from 1 species